rnacentral:rRNA from 1 species
GAUGAACGCUGGCGGCGUGCCUAAUACAUGCAAGUCGAGCGAACAGACGAGGAGCUUGCUCCUCUGACGUUAGCGGCGGACGGGUGAGUAACACGUGGAUAACCUACCUAUAAGACUGGGAUAACUUCGGGAAACCGGAUCUAAUACCGGAUAAUAUAUUGAACCGCAUGGUUCAAUAGUUAAAGACGGUUUUGCUGUCACUUAUAGAUGGAUCCGCGCCGCAUUAGCUAGUUGGUAAGGUAACGGCUUACCAAGGCAACGAUGCGUAGCCGACCUGAGAGGGUGAUCGGCCACACUGGAACUGAGACACGGUCCAGACUCCUACGGGAGGCAGCAGUAGGGAAUCUUCCGCAAUGGGCGAAAGCUUGACGGAGCAACGCCGCGUGAGUGAUGAAGGUCUUCGGAUCGUAAAACUCUGUUAUUAGGGAAGAACAAAUGUGUAAGUAACUAUGCACGUCUUGACGGUACCUAAUCAGAAAGCCACGGCUAACUACGUG